rnacentral:rRNA from 1 species
UACGUAGGGGGCGAGCGUUGUCCGGAUUCAUUGGGCGUAAAGCGCUUUAAGGCGGUUCGGUAAGUCGGGUGUGAAACCUCCAGGCUCAACCUGGAGACGCCACUCGAUACUGCUCUGACUUGAGUUCGGUAGGGGAGUGGGGAAUUCCUGGUGUAGCGGUGAAAUGCGCAGAUAUCAGGAGGAACACCGGUGGCGAAGGCGCCACUCUGGGCCGAAACUGACGCUGAGGAGCGAAAGCGUGGGUAGCAAACAGG